GAACUGAGACACGGUCCAGACUCCUACGGGAGGCAGCAGUGGGGAAUAUUGGACAAUGGGCGAAAGCCUGAUCCAGCCAUGCCGCGUGUGUGAAGAAGGCCUUUUGGUUGUAAAGCACUUUAAGCGGGGAGGAGGGCACCACGGUUAAUACCCGUGAAUGUCGGACGUUACCCGCAGAAUAAGCACCGGCUAACUCUGUGCCAGCAGCCGCGGUAAUACAGAGGGUGCGAGCGUUAAUCGGAAUUACUGGGCGUAAAGCGCGCGUAGGCGGCUUGUUAAGUCGGAUGUGAAAUCCCUGGGCUCAACCUAGGCAUUGCAUUCGAUACUGGCAAGCUAGAGUAUGGGAGAGGAAGGUAGAAUUCCAGGUGUAGCGGUGAAAUGCGUAGAGAUCUGGAGGAAUACCGAUGGCGAAGGCAGCCUUCUGGCCUAAUACUGACGCUGAGGUGCGAAAGCAUGGGGAGCAAACAGGAUUAGAUACCCUGGUAGUCCAUGCCGUAAACGAUGUCAACUAGCCGUUGGGGCCCUUGAGGCCUUAGUGGCGCAGCUAACGCGAUAAGUUGACCGCCUGGGGAGUACGGUCGCAAGACUAAAACUCAAAUGAAUUGACGGGGGCCCGCACAAGCGGUGGAGCAUGUGGUUUAAUUCGAUGCAACGCGAAGAACCUUACCUAGCCUUGACAUGUCUGGAAUCUUGUAGAGAUACGAGAGUGCCUUCGGGAAUCAGAACACAGGUGCUGCAUGGCUGUCGUCAGCUCGUGUCGUGAGAUGUUGGGUUAAGUCCCGCAACGAGCGCAACCCUUUUCCUUAUUUGCCAGCACUUCGGGUGGGAACUCUAAGGAUACUGCCAGUGACAAACUGGAGGAAGGCGGGGACGACGUCAAGUCAUCAUGGCCCUUACGGCUAGGGCUACACACGUGCUACAAUGGUCGGUACAAAGGGUUGCUAACCCGCGAGGGCAUGCUAAUCUCAAAAAGCCGAUCGUAGUCCAGAUUGGAGUCUGCAACUCGACUCCAUGAAGUCGGAAUCGCUAGUAAUCGCGGAUCAGAAUGUCGCGGUGAAUACGUUCCCGGGCCUUGUACACACCGCCCGUCACACCAUGGGAGUUUGUUGCACCAGAAGUAGUUAGCCUAACCGUAAGGAGGGCGAUUACCACGGUGUGGCCGAUGACUGGGGUGAAGUCGUAACAAGGUAGCCGUAGGGGAACCUGCGGCUG
rnacentral:rRNA from 1 species